rnacentral:rRNA from 1 species
GACGAACGCUGGCGGCGUGCCUAAUACAUGCAAGUCGAACGCUUCUUUCCUCCCGAGUGCUUGCACUCAAUUGGAAAGAGGAGUGGCGGACGGGUGAGUAACACGUGGGUAACCUACCCAUCAGAGGGGGAUAACACUUGGAAACAGGUGCUAAUACCGCAUAACAGUUUAUGCCGCAUGGCAUAAGAGUGAAAGGCGCUUUCGGGUGUCGCUGAUGGAUGGACCCGCGGUGCAUUAGCUAGUUGGUGAGGUAACGGCUCACCAAGGCCACGAUGCAUAGCCGACCUGAGAGGGUGAUCGGCCACACUGGGACUGAGACACGGCCCAGACUCCUACGGGAGGCAGCAGUAGGGAAUCUUCGGCAAUGGACGAAAGUCUGACCGAGCAACGCCGCGUGAGUGAAGAAGGUUUGCGGAUCGUAAAACUCUGUUGUUAGAGAAGAACAAGGACGUUAGUAACUGAACGUCCCCUGACGGUAUCUAACCAGAAAGCCACGGCUAACUACGU